rnacentral:rRNA from 1 species
UACAGAGGGUGCAAGCGUUAAUCGGAAUUAUUGGGCGUAAAGGGUGCGUAGGUGGCGCCGUAAGUCAGGUGUGAAAUCUCGGGGCUCAACCCCGAAACUGCACUUGAUACUGCGGUGCUCGAGUACUGGAGAGGAGAUUGGAAUUUACGGUGUAGCAGUGAAAUGCGUAGAUAUCGUAAGGAAGACCAGUGGCGAAGGCGAAUCUCUGGACAGUUACUGACACUGAGGCACGAAGGCCAGGGGAGCAAACGGG